rnacentral:rRNA from 1 species
CCUACGGGUGGCAGCAGUGGGGAAUAUUGGGCAAUGGCCGCAAGUCUGACCCAGCAACGCCGCGUGAAGGAAGAAGGCCUUCGGGUUGUAAACUUCUUUUAAGGGGGAAGAGCAGAAGACGGUACCCCUUGAAUAAGCCACGGCUAAAUACGGGCCAGCAGCCGCGGUAAUACGUAGGUGGCAAGCGUUGUCCGGAUUUACUGGGUGUAAAGGGCGUGCAGCCGGAGAGACAAGUCAGAUGUGAAAUCCACGGGCUCAACCCGUGAACUGCAUUUGAAACUGUUUUCCUUGAGUGUCGGAGAGGUAAGCGGAAUGCGUUGUGUAGCGGUGAAAUGCGUAGAUAUAACGAAGAACACCGGUUGCGAAGGCGGAUUACUGGA